rnacentral:tRNA from 1 species
GGGGCUGUAGCUCAAUUGGGAGAGCGCCGGUUUUGCAAGCCGGAGGUCGCCGGUUCGAUCCCGGUCAGCUCCACCA